rnacentral:rRNA from 1 species
AUUGAACGCUGGCGGCAUGCUUUACACAUGCAAGUCGAACGGUAACAGGUUAAGCUGACGAGUGGCGAACGGGUGAGUAAUGCAUCGGAACGUGCCCGAUCGUGGGGGAUAACGCAGCGAAAGCUGCGCUAAUACCGCAUACGAUCUGAGGAUGAAAGCGGGGGACCGCAAGGCCUCGCGCGAUCGGAGCGGCCGAUGUCAGAUUAGGUAGUUGGUGGGGUAAAGGCUCACCAAGCCGACGAUCUGUAGCUGGUCUGAGAGGACGACCAGCCACACUGGGACUGAGACACGGCCCAGACUCCUACGGGAGGCAGCAGUGGGGAAUUUUGGACAAUGGGCGAAAGCCUGAUCCAGCAAUGCCGCGUGCAGGAAGAAGGCCUUCGGGUUGUAAACUGCUUUUGUACGGAACGAAAAGGUUUGGCCUAAUAAGCUGAGCUCAUGACGGUACCGUAAGAAUAAGCACCGGCUAACUACGUGCCAGCCGCCGCCGUAA